rnacentral:lncRNA from 1 species
AUGGCCAAGCCUUGUUUGGGGAGGUCAGGGUGGGCUCGGCGUGUGCGAGCCACUACCACCGCCCCUGUGUCGGGGGCCCCCCACCGGCAAGUGGGUCCCCCCACCUUUGCCUCGUGGGUCACCUUGCACAAGUGGGGGCUCUGGGGUCACAGCCUUUGGCUAGGCCACAGCCCCCUACACGGCCAAGCUACACACGUGGCCCCAGCCCCCACCCGUAGCACACUCGGCCCAGGCUCCCAGCGAUGCCGGCCCAAAAUUAAAAACAGAUUUUCCACCAGGCUGGGCUUGGGUUUCACGCAUUCCAUGACGGUGAGCUCCUGGCCGUGCCUGAAGGACAUGCAGCCAGCAGCGGCCACGUGGGAGCCAGGGUCAGGGCCAACUUUGUGUCCCUGUCCCCAACUCCUGAGGUCCGAGGUCCAGGCUGCCAGGCUGCACAUGGCACCACACCCACUGCCCCACGCCCCCCAGGGCUUCCUCCAGGCUGGCCCUCACCCUCCAGGAAUGGCCUGGAAGGAGGCCAGAGAGGCAGCCCUUGGGCUGAGGUUCAGAGCUGUUCCUGCCAUCUCCCCACAGGCCAGGCCCCUGCCCUGCACCCUGCAGCCGGGGGACCCCAGCUCUCCCGCCGCCCACGCCUGUCCUCCCCCUUGUGCAGGGAACAGACACCAAAGAACUGCAGCAAGCGUGUCUAUUUUGGUCCCCGCGCUCCGACACAUCUCCCAGCGUGACACCCAGAAAAUCCCCUGCUCUCCCCACUUGUCUGCAGGCCCCUGCACCAGCCUCCUGAGGACCGGGCUCCAGGCCUCAGACCCAGCCAGGAGCUGCCAGACUGGAGUCCCGUCUCCGGGCUUGGCUCCCUACCAGGGAGAGGCAGCCCACAGGGCACAGCCCAACCCCAGAUGCAGGGCUGCAGGGCUCAGAGCUGGGUGUACCCCAGAACUUCGGGAGUGCUCCUCCACGAUGGCCAGGAACCCAGCCAGUGUGCAUGGGCCCAAGGGGGCAGAGCGGGUAGGGGCACCGUGGCUGGCACCCUCCUCAGAGACCGAAGGCACUGGCACUCUGUGGGUGGCCCGGCCUCCUCCCACACCCUCGGCCAACAUGGGCCUGGCCCAGCCACAGUGGGUGCUGCCCCACGGGACUCAGGUCUCAGCCAGCCUCCCUAGACUGUGA